rnacentral:rRNA from 1 species
GAUUAGAUACCCUGGUAGUCCACACCGUAAACGCUGUCUACUAGCUGUUUGUGGAUAUUAUCCGUGAGUAGCGAAGCUAACGCGCUAAGUAGACCGCCUGGGGAGUACGGCCGCAAGGUUAAAACUCAAAGGAAUUGACGGGGGCUCACACAAGCGGUGGAGCAUGUGGUUUAAUUCGACGCAACGCGAAGAACCUUACCUGGUCUUGACAUCCUGCGAACUUUCUAGAGAUAGAUUGGUGCCUUCGGGAACCGAGAUACAGGUGCUGCAUGGCUGUCGUCAGCUCGUGCCG